GUAGUCUCGCACAGAUGCAUAUCAAUAAGCGGAGGAAAAGAAACUAACAAGGAUUCCCCUAGUAACGGCGAGUGAAGCGGGAAGAGCUCAAAUUUGAAAUCUUAAAGGGUUUCCCUUUACGAAUUGUAGUUUAAAGAAGUGUUUUCUGUUGAGGUUUUGGUAAAAGUUCUUUGGAAUAGGACAUCAUAGAGGGUGAGAAUCCCGUAUUUGACCUUUACUUUCAACUUUGUGAUACACUUUCAAAGAGUCCGGAUCGUUUGGGAAUGCAGUCCAAAAUGGGUGGUAAAUUUCAUCUAAAGCUAAAUAUUGGCGAGAGACCGAUAGCGAACAAGUACCGUGAGGGAAAGAUGAAAAGAACUUUGAAAAGAGAGUUAAACAGUACGUGAAAUUGUCAAAAGGGAAGCGUUUGACACCAGUGUUGUUUUUCUGAAAAUCAAUUAAAGAACUGUUUAUGCUAAGCUGUUUAGACUUUAUCAGCUAUCUGUUUAGUUUUGAGCUUUUCUUUAAUGCACUUUUCAGUUAACAAGUCAACAUCAAUUUCUUUUGCUGUAAAAAAGCUUGAGGAAGGUGGCUUGAGAUUCGUCUUAAGUGUUUAUAGCCUCUUGCCUAUGCAGUCGGAGAGAUUGAGGUCUGCAGCGUAGAUCCUUCGGGGCUAAAUGCAUUUGUGCUAAGUUAUAGCAUUUUAUAGACAACUUGUUGACUAUGAUUUGUCUUGUAGCUUACUCGCUUAUGUUAUUUUACCUACGCUUAGGAUGUUGAAGACUCUACAGAGAUA
rnacentral:rRNA from 1 species